rfam:Parcubacteria (Giovannonibacteria) bacterium GW2011_GWB1_47_6b TY02_C0055, whole genome shotgun sequence.
GCGCCUAUAGCUCAGCGGUAGAGCAAUUGUCUUAUACACAAUGGGUCGGGGGUCCGAAUCCCUCUAGGCGCA